UACGGAGGGGGCAAGCGUUGCCCGGAAUCACUGGGUUUAAAGGGCGCGUAGGCGGCUUGAUAAGUCAGGGGUGAAAGCCCGCAGCUUAACUGCGGAGCUGCCUUUGAUACUGCCGAGCUUGAAAGAGGGUGAGGUCAGCGGAACGUGACAUGUAGCGGUGAAAUGCAUAGAGAUGUCACAGAACACCGGUUGCGAAGGCAGCUGGCUGGACCUAUGUUGACGAUGAGGCGCGAAAGAGUGGGGAGCGAACAGG
rnacentral:rRNA from 1 species